rnacentral:misc_RNA from 1 species
AUUCUGCCAAAUUUGUUUGGAAGCACUUGGCCGACAAACCCUCCACGAUUAAGCGCUACAAGGAAGAAGAAACAUCAAGCAUCCUUCAAUACAGAUCCCUAUACAAAGCUAUAGAAAAGGGAGAUUGGGAUAAAACUAAAGAUUGUCUAUCUGGGAAUCCUAAUGAUGUUAGGACAAAGAUAUCAUUGAUGGGUCUUAAUGCUCUUCAAGUAGCUGUUUUGGCUGGAAAAUUGAAGAUUGUAGACGAGUUGGUGAAGUUAAUGUCAGAAGAAGACUUGGAAAUGACAUCCAACUAUGGUAAUACAGCUUUCACUCUUGCAGCCUUGAUUGGAAGGAUAGAUAUGAUGAAAAUCAUGUUGGACAAAAAUAAAAAUUUGGUUACUAAAGGAAAUGAUUACGAUCGCUGUCUUCCAAUUGUCAUGACUUCUUUAUAUGGCCAAAGAGAAACUAUACAUUAUCUUCUUGAGAAAACUCCCAUUGAAUAUCUCAGUCCACAAAGUGGUGAUAAGAAUGGUGCCACACUUCUAAAUUGCUUGAUCAGUGAUGGGCUUUAUGGUAUGCCAUUCUCUUCUCUUGCAUAAAAAUAUUUAUCAAAUGUAAACCUUUUUAAUACUCUUUUAGUACCUCCUAAGCUAUUUAAUUGGCUUUAUUUUUGUUAUUUCUUUGAUAUCCCAAUUUAUAAUUGUUUAAUAAUUUGUCACUAAAGAUGAAGCACUGCGUCUACUGAAGAAAGAGGGGUACCGACAACUCGGUUUUAUGGAGGAUUUUAAUAGAAAUUGUGCUAUAAAAUUGUUGGCUAAGAAAAGUUCAGCAUUUCUAAGUGGAAGUAAUCUUGGAUUUUGGAACCGAUGGUUAUACUCUUGUGUUCCCAACCUCUAUCAAGAUGAUAUUAGUUCUCCAGAGCCCCGUGAUGAGGAGAAUGUCCAAAUCCCUUGCAAGCAAAAUUCAAGUGAUGGAAGAAGCACAAGAAAACAAGUUGUCAACCUAGCACAUGGGCUUCUUUGGAGAAUCUUAAAACAUCUUGUCCCUGAAAGCAUAAAAGAUAUGAAGAUGAGACAUGCUCAAGCCUUGCACCUCCUCAAAUUGCUAUUCAAGGAAAUACCAUCAAUAAGAAAUGAAGAACUCAAGAAUCUUAGGUUUAAUCUAAUAGUGUAUGAUGCAAUUAAGAAUGGUCUAGUUGAGUUUAUCCAAGAGCUAAUCACAUCUAACCCUGAAUUAGUAUGGAGAGUUGAUAACAUGGGAAGAACACUAUUUGCAUAUGCAAUCCUACUUCGUCAAGAAAAAAUCUUCAGCCUCAUAUAUGGAUUGGGUGAAAAGAGACGCACAAUAAUGACAAAAAGAGAUGUGUUUGGCAAUAACUUCUUACAUUUGGCAGCUAAGUUGCCUCCUGCUUUUCAACUUGAUCGAGUUCCUGGCGCAGCUCUGCAAAUGCAAAAGGAAUUACAAUGGUUUAAGGAAAUAGAGAGCAUGGUACCAACAAAGUUCAAGGAACGAACUAAUGAAAAUGGUCAUACGCCUAAUGCUUUAUUCGCCAAGGAACAUGCAGAGUUGAUGAAAGAAGGUGAGAGAUGGAUGAAGAAUACCACAGCUUCAUGCAUGGUUGUGGCUGCUCUUAUUGCCACUGUUGUGUUCACAACAGCAUUUACAGUUCCUGGUGGCACCAAUAAUGACACAGGCAUUCCUAUAUUCUUGGGCUAUGAUGCAUUCCUGAUAUUUAUCAUUACAAAUGCCUUAUCACUCUUCUUUUCCAAUACUUCUGUAUUAAUAUUCCUUGGUAUCCUCACUUCACGUUAUGCGGAAAAAGAUUUCCUCAAAUCGUUACCCCAAAAACUGAUAAUUGGCCUUUCCACUCUUUUCUUCUCUGUAGUAACCAUGAUGAUAGCCUUUGGCUCAAGCAUUUUUAUUUUGCUCCAAAAACGAUUGACUUGGAUUGACAUUCCACUCACUAUUCUUUCCGCAGUGCCCAUUGCUUUCUAUAUAUUUUUUCAAUUUCCACUCCUAUUUCGGAUAGUGAUCAACACUCAUAAACACAGCUUAUUUGACAAGCCCAAAGAACAACUUGCAGAAGAAAAUUUGUCUGAAUUGGGUUUAGAUUUAGCUGCUGAUGAACAGAGUUGACUUGAACAGACUCGCCUAUGUAUUUUAUUUGUUCUAUGUGUAGUUUUGGC